GCCAGCAGCAGAGCAUAUUAAUGAUCUGGCUCUCAAUUCAGUAAAGGUGUAAUUUCAUGGGACGCUCUUUUCUAGCGUCAGCGUCAAAUAAGAGCGCGGGAAAUUCGAAAUUCUGAAUUAUUUUUGCGUCAAGCGGUAGCGUUAACGCAGCAGCGUUGAGCGGUAUAGCGUCGAAUGCAAAAGCGUCGAGCGGCAGCGUACGCGGCAAAGUACAGCGUCAAGUGUCAUUUUGGAGGUUAGAAGCGUCGUUUUGGAGUUGAGGUUAAAAUAAUAAUAUUGAAAAUGUUUCUUUACGAGAAAAGGAAGUGGCAUUAUGAAUGCGAAUUAUUAAUUCAAGGGGCAAAGAGAAGAAAAACACGUAAGCUUAAAUCCGUAUUAGCUUUUCUUGCUGCUUAUGAGAUAGAGAUGUUAUAAAAAAAGAAAUUAUACAAAAAAACGUUACUGGAAGCAUCCAAUAUAUGCGUUACGAUACCGCCAUGGGUUCUAUGAAUCAAUUUUUCCAACUCUUUCUAUAAACGACGAUGAAAAGUUCUUGGCAUACAUACGUAUGACCAAGCGUCAAUUUGACAAGAUUUUGCAAAAAGUGUAUCCCUUAAUUACUAAGCAAUUCGCGGUUCGAAUGCCCAUCAAAGCAUCUGCAAGGUUACUCAUUACAUUAAGAGUAUUAUCAACUGGCGAUUCAUAUAAUACAUUAAGCUAUGAAUACUUAAUUGGAAAUACGACAGUAAGCAACAUUGUGCAUGAAACUUGUGAAGCUUUGUUGUUGAAGAGAACUUUUAUACCUAUAUACAUAUAUGUUUGAAGAUAUAAGUUCUCUUCGAAGUGCAAAAUCAAAUAGACUCUGUGGUAGCUAAACAAUGAUAUUCAUAGAUUUUGGCCUUCGAAGGUAACAUAACCACCCUAAAUUAAAAAAGAGCAACUUUAGUUGUUGGAUUACCAUUAUCUGAACCGUAGCCUGAUGGAUGCUCUUCAGAUUCUGCAACAGUCGAUGCAUCCAUGGACUCAUCCAUUGAUGUUUCAGGGAUUUAGAUCUAGUACUACAAAAUAAUCAAAUUCAAUAUGUUUGAAAAGUACGCUUACAAAUAUAUUUAGAAAAAACAAUUGUUGCUUAUACUCACUUGUUUUGAAGUAAACACGAGUCACGUAAGAAGCUUAGAAGUUGAUAAUACUUCCACUUCGGUUCUUCAUCCUGCCUCGCAGAACCACUGGCCUGUUGCUCAUGCAGGAUAAUUUUUCUUAAAGUGUCCUUGAGAGACUUGAAUUUUAAUUGCACUUCAUGUGCAUUCAAUUAACCUAUAAAAAGUAGUUAAAUUAAAUAUUUGCUAUAAAAAAAUUGAAUAAUAUGAUAACUACAUACCAUUUAGCUUUUCUGAUACUUCCUCCAAUAAAGUAGCUUUGAUUUGCUUUGUACGCUGCUGCAAUGGAAUUGCAUAGUUCCACAGAGAAGGUCGUUUCUCAAUUUCUGCGAUAAGAAUUUCAACCUCGUUGUCAUCUAACUGAUUAGAUUUGCGUUUCUUUGCACUUUUACUUUUGUUGCCUGCGGAUCCUUUCCUUGCAUUGUUAUCACACGUCUGUCUUGCCUUUUUUCCUUCAUCUACAAUACAAUAUAUAGAAAUAAUAAGUCUAAAAAUCUAAAAAAAAAGUCUAAAAAAAGUAUUAAGUGCACAGCAUUAAAACCAUCAUGUUGCCAUCAACUAUUGCUGGGACCAGCAUCAACUCCUUAUUUUCUAGAAUAAAAUAAUAUUUAUUUAUGUAUUUAUAUACAGGUAUAUUGUCUUUUAUUAUUUAAGAAUAAAGAUGAGAGACAAGCUAUAGCAACUCGCUAUUUACAAUUUAAACUACAAUUUUAUGAAAAUAUAUACAAUCUAACUACAAUUUUAUGAAAAUAUUUUUGCAAACGAUAUACUUUUAAUACAAUAAAUAAAUCAGUGUUUAUAUAUUGACAUAACUCUGCUUUUAAUUGCACUUACCCAAUACAGGAUAAAAUUUUCCAUUUUUGUCUUCAUGAACAGUAGUAAAUAUCUGAUCUUCUAAAACGGAGCAAAGAUGCUCAAAAACAUCAUCCACAAGUGUUACUUCACAAAAGGCACAGGUGUAAUACUAAAAGUAGCUUAAUUUAUCUAUAAGUUUACUUAAUUUCAUAACAAAAUACAAAUGAUAUUUGUAGCAAUCCAUCAAAGGUACUUUGCCUCAGAUGUAAACAGAACCUCUAAAUUUAAUAUUCAAAGUUAAAUAGAAAUAUUUCAAUAAACUCAUUUUAGCUAAACUCACUUUAUGUUGUUCCUCGUUGACAUCUUACAUGGCAACAACUUAUUUGUAUCAAAAUAAUUUUAUUUAACAAUUUAAAGAAAACUGUUUACUCUUGAUGCUAUUUGCGAUUGAAAAAGCCCAAAAUGUUGAGCUUCUUUUGAAAAGCAGCGUCAAAAAGUAGCGUCAGACCACGCGCAUGCGCAAUGAUAAAACUAGAAUUUUUUACGCUGACGCUAGAAAAGGAGCGUCCCAUGAAAUUACACCUUAACGUGCGAAUGGUAGUACUCGCUGCUUGCUCCGGUCUCUAUCAUAC